UCUCUGAGUAGCAAGGACUGGAAUCGGAGCUCCUCUCCACAGCUUGGUUCUGGUGCCUUAGCUUUCGGGAAUGUCAGCUUUUUAGGGGUCUGGAGAGAUGGUUCUGUGGUUAAGAGCACUGACUACUCUCCCAGAGGACCUGGAUUUGGAUCCCAGCAACCACACAUGGCAGCUCACCACUAUCUGUAAUUCCAGAUCCAGGGGCUCUGAUACCUCCACUCAGGUGAGUGUGUUUUAAAGUUUAUUAAAAGAUCUUUUUUUCCCCCAAUCUUAACUGAUUUAACUGUAAUUGCCCCACAGACCAGAUGGGACUUGGUUCUGCUUAUGUCCUCAGGCUGACCACUAGGUGGCGCUGGAACCUGUGUAUUGAAGUGACCUGGCUGCCUGUAUCCCUUAUACUUCGUUGAGUGAACUGUUAGGGUUAAUUAGAAACUGACCAUCUAGUGAUUGCCAUAUGCAGGGAUCC
rnacentral:lncRNA from 1 species